rnacentral:rRNA from 1 species
AGCGGUGAAUGCGCAGAUAUCAGGAAGAACACCGAUGCGAAGNCAGAUCUUUGGCCGUAAAUUGACGNUAGGAGCGAAAGCGUGGGAAGCGACAGGAUUAGAUACCCUGGUAGUCCACGCCGUAAACGUUGGGCGCUAGAUGUAGGGACCUUUCCACGGUUUCUGUGUCGUAGCUAACGCAUUAAGCGCCCCGCCUGGGGAGUACGGCCGCAAGGCUAAAACUCAAAGGAAUUGACGGGGGCCCGCACAAGCGGCGGAGCAUGCGGAUUAAUUCGAUGCAACGCGAAGAACCUUACCAAGGCUUGACAUACACCGGAAACGGCCAGAGAUGGUCGCCCCCUUGUGGUCGGUGUACAGGUGGUGCAUGGUUGUCGUCAGCUCGUGUCGUGAGAUGUUGGGUUAAGUCCCGCAACGAGCGCAACCCUCGUUCUAUGUUGCCAGCGCGUUAUGGCGGGGACUCAUAGGAGACUGCCGGGGUCAACUCGGAGGAAGGUGGGGAUGACGUCAAAUCAUCAUGCCCCUUAUGUCUUGGGCUUCACGCAUGCUACAAUGGCCGGUACAAAGGGCUGCGAUACCGUAAGGUGGAGCGAAUCCCAAAAAGCCGGUCUCAGUUCGGAUUGAGGUCUGCAACUCGACCUCAUGAAGUCGGAGUCGCUAGUAAUCGCAGAUCAGCAGCGCUGCGGAAGGUUUAAAAUCCUCC